AACGAACGCUGGCGGCAUGCCUAACACAUGCAAGUCGAACGUGAUCCGGGACUUCGGUUCCGGUGAAAGUGGCGGACGGGUGAGUAACGCGUGGGAACCUGCCCAGUGGUAGGGGAUAACCGCGGGAAACUGCGGCUAAUACCCUAUGCGCCCUCAGGGGCAAAGAUUUAUCGCCAUUGGAGGGGCCCGCGUCGGAUUAGGUAGUUGGUGAGGUAACGGCUCACCAAGCCAUCGAUCCGUAGCUGGUCUGAGAGGAUGAUCAGCCACACUGGGACUGAGACACGGCCCAGACUCCUACGGGUGGCAG
rnacentral:rRNA from 1 species